AACGAACGCUGGCGGCACGUUUUAAGCAUGCAAGUCGAAUGGCAGUGGGGGCAACCCCAUGAGAAUGGCGAACGGGUGAGUAACACGUAGGUGAUCUACCUGACGGAUGGGGAUAGCUUGUGGAAACACAGGGUAAUACCGAAUGAGCUGACGAGACUUUGGUUUUGUUAGUAAAGGUGCUACGGCACCGCCGACAGAGGAGCCUGCGGCUGAUUAGCUAGUUGGUGGGGUAAAGGCCUACCAAGGCGACGAUCAAUAGCCGGCCUGAGAGGGUGUACGGCCACACUGGAACUGAGACACGGUCCAGACUCCUACGGGAGGCAGCAGCUAAGAAUCUUCCGCAAUGGGCGAAAGCCUGACGGAGCGAUGCCGCGUGAUCGAUGAAGGUCGAGAGAUUGUAAAGAUCUUUUCUACAUGAGGAAUAAGUCUGGGAGGGAAUGCCUGGAUGAUGACGUUAGUGUAGGAAUAAGCCCCGGCUAAUUACGUGCCAGCCGCCGCCGUAA
rnacentral:rRNA from 1 species